GCGGGAGGCGGGAGCGGGCUCAUAACCCGAAGGUCGUAGGUUUAAAUCCUACCCCCGCU
rnacentral:tRNA from 1 species